AUUGAACGCUGGCGGCAUGCUUUACACAUGCAAGUCGAACGGCAGCACGGACUUCGGUCUGGUGGCGAGUGGCGAACGGGUGAGUAAUACAUCGGAACGUACCCAGUAAUGGGGGAUAACUAUCCGAAAGGAUAGCUAAUACCGCAUACGCCCUACGGGGGAAAGAGGGGGAUCGCAAGACCUCUUGUUAUUGGAGCGGCCGAUGGCUGAUUAGCUAGUUGGUGAGGUAAAGGCUCACCAAGGCGACGAUCAGUAGCGGGUCUUAGAGGACGAUCCGCCACACUGGAACUGAGACACGGUCCAGACUCCUACGGGAGUCAGCAGUGGGGAAUCUUGGACAAUGGGCGCAAGCCUGAUCCAGCAAUGCCGCGUGCGUGAAGAGGGCCUUCGGGUUGUAAAGCGCUUUUGUCAGGGAGCAAAUCCUUGUGGCUAAUACCCACCGGGGAUGAGAGUACCUGAAGAAUAAGGACCGGCUAACUACGUGCCAGCCGCCGCCGUAACAC
rnacentral:rRNA from 1 species